GGAAGGAUCAUUAUCAAUGUUAAUAAAACUACACCUUAUCUUUUUUGGAAGGGAGGGUUUACUCUCUCUCUUUCACAAAAAGAUAGGCACACUUUGUGAAUAACUAUGAAGUCCAUUUAUAACCAAUUUUUACUCCGUAGUCUAAUAUUUCUAUUUUUUUGAUACCUUCUUUGCUGUACUUAGGUACUUCAAAGUAGGCUAAAGAAGAAUAAAAAACCACAUUACAAUCUUUAACGAUGGAUAUCUCGGCUCGUGUAACGAUGAAGAGCGCAGCAAAAUGCGAUAACUAGUGUGAAUUGCAGAAUUCUGUGAAUCAUCGAACUCUUGAACGCAAACUGCGCCUUGAGGCUAUCCUCGAGGCACACCUGUUUGAGUGUCGACAAAUUCUCUAUCCAACUCUAAUAGGUUUUCGAACCUGUUUUAGAUGGGAUCAUGACAGUGUAGAGGGACUGGUUUCGACCUUUGGACUCAACUCUGUUUAAAUGUAUUGGUUGAAUUUACUUCUACAAAGUAAAGUGAAAACUACCACCUUUGGUUUGAGGAAUUUAAUUCCAACUUCCUUAGGUGUUUCUCUUUCUACUUUUGUAUUCAAGUUCUUUCAAAAUCCACUAAGGAACAAAAAUGUUUGUUUUUUUUUUUGAAGAGUCUCUCUUCGAAUCAACCAAACUACAACCAUAUUCGACCUCAAAUCAGGUGGGAUUACCCCCUGAAUUUAAGCAUAUAAAUAAGGGGAGGAAAAGAAAGUAACCACGAUUCCCUUAGUAAAGGCGAUUGAACAGGGAAAAGCUCAAUCCGAAUCUAGCAGGUUUCCUGCUCGAAUUGUAGUUUUUGAAGUGUUUAUAUGAGAUGAACUCAGUAUAAGUUACCUGGAACGGUACGCCAUAGAGGGUGACAGCCCCGUAUAUGAUUGAGGUUUUCCAUUUCUAUCCGUAAACAACUUCUAGAGUCGGGCUGUUUGAUAGUAUAGCCCAAAGUGCGAGGUAAGUUCCUCGUAAAGCUAAAUACAGACGCGAGACCGAUAGCGAACAAGUACCGUGAGGGAAAGAUGCAAAGAACUUUGAAAAGAGAGUUAAAAGUACUUGAAAUCGUUGGAGAGGAAGCGAUUGGCAACUAGUGAUUGAAUAGGGUUGAUUCGUGGUAGAAAGGGUGGAAAAGGGGUGAAAUGAGUUGCAUUUUUGUAAACCAUGUAAUUUCUUUCAAUUCAUUCUUGAUAUCAUUACUUCAAUCUUAUCGGAUCAGUAUCUAUGGACUUUCGAUUAGAAUGGGAAGGGGGAGGUAGCCUGGGGUUUUCUCUGGGUGUUUAACCCUUUUCAGAUAGUCUUAAGAUUCUAUAGAGGGUACAAAUUGGUGCUUGGCGGGGUAUGUAGGGUCCUAAGGGGGAUUUAUUUUGAGGACUGCUUGCAGUGUUUGAGAUACUUUCUUUUUACCGAUUUUACACCACCUACCAAUUCGUGAUGCUGAUGAAAUGGUUCCAACCGACCCGUCUUGAAACACGGACCAAGGAGUCUAACAUAUGUGCAAGUCACUGGGUAAUAAACCUUGGGGCGUAAUGAAAGUGAAACAUGGUGUGAUAGGUGUUAAAUCCUUGCAACAUCGACCGAUCCAUUCUCCUUUUUAUAGGUGAUAGAUUUGAGUAAGAGCAUAUCUGUUGGGACCCGAAAGAUGGUGAACUAUGCCCGCAUAGGGUGAGGCCAGAAGAAAUUCUGGUGGAGGCUCGUAGCGAUACUGACGUGCAAAUCGUUCGUCAAAUGUGGGUAUAGCGGCGAAAGACUAAUCGAACCGUCUAGUAGCUGGUUUCCUC
rnacentral:misc_RNA from 1 species